UGACAGCCCCACUGUGCCUGAGCCCGUGU
rnacentral:piRNA from 1 species